rnacentral:rRNA from 1 species
UACGUAGGGGGCAAGCGUUGUCCGGAAUCAUUGGGCGUAAAGCGCGUGUAGGCGGUCCGGUAAGUCCGCUGUGAAAGUCGGGGGCUCAACCCUCGGAUGCCGGUGGAUACUGUCGGGCUUGAGUACGGAAGAGGCGAGUGGAAUUCCUGGUGUAGCGGUGAAAUGCGUAGAGAUCAGGAGGAACACCCGGGGCGAAGGCGGCCCUCUGGCUCGACCCUGACGCUGAGGCGCGAAAGCGUGGGGAGCGAACGGG